GUGUGUGUGUGUGUGUGUGUGUGUGUGUGUGUGAGAGAGUUUAUUACUGUCUUGUCUAUAUUUUGUAGGUCUGUCCUACAGCUGCUGACUGACUACAAUUGGGUAUGUGUGUCCUAUACUGAGUCAUGAUAUUCAUGUCAAACUGCCUGAAGACAAAAAGAACUACAAGGUAUUGUUGAUAAUAUUGAUCAACAUGUCAAAUGUCAAUUCUAAAGAUAGCAAAUAGUUUGUGCUACAAAUUAUUUUCAAACAUAUGACUGUGCUAUCCUUGCUUUUGUUGAAAAGAUUACUCUCUCAGUUUACGGGUUUAUUUGAUCAUUAUCUGUUGCUCUGAUGCAUCACUUCUUUGCUUUGCAGAUUUAAAGGAUACAAAGAAGAAUCCACACAUCUCAUAAAGUUUGACUUACCGUUGAACAGCAGAGGGCAGUAAAACCCAAGAAUGCUGAUGAAACCCACAGUGCAUCAGAAUGACCAUCCGAAUCAGUGGGCCCCGUAUUACACAACAAAGUUGUGAAUACUGUAGUAUGAGUUUGAAUAAAUACCACACGUCUCUUUCACAGCCGAUACUUUGAUUUGUCCCGACAGAAUACACACAGGUUUAACGAACAGAAUCAGCAGUGGAUCCGCUCUGUCGUCCCAGUAAGCCAUGACAGUGAGACGCUAAGAGAGCAUUUACAGCACCGGGGCCCCUGAAAGGAAGCAGAUCAAUGCAUUUCAGGCAACAUUAAUUCUAUUAUCUACACCUGUGCUUUUCCUAAUGUGACAUGUCAUAAUAUUUGUUACAAUGUAUUGUAAUGUGCUUGACUUAAUUCAACAACAAGUCUUUGUAAUAGGUUAUCGAAGAAUGACACCAUUUAAAUUCAUGUUUAAUUUGAAUUGCUGCGUACAAUAACAUUACUGUGUAAGAACAUGAAUAAAGUGUUCAUAUGCUGUUACAGAGUGGUGGACAGUAUUGCAGUGAGUGUUUAACUACCAUUUACGAGUAACUAUACUGUUUUUAGGGUGUUCUAACUUUUAUCCUCCUCCUGAAAGUUAUAUGUGUUGUUUUUAUUUUGAGUUUCUUUUAAUAUUUGAAUGUUUUGUUGCAUGCGAAAUGCACACAUCAUUGCUUAAAUACAUUCAUGUAUAUUUCUGUGUGGCUUGAAGGACGUUUUAGUUGCACUUUCCUUGCGUGUGUAUGUGUGCGUGUUCUCCAUACAAGGCUGGUCACGAAGGUCAUAAAGAGGAAGUCCCUGCGGUCAGUAAGAAGGAGCGCAUGUUUUGCUUGAUGUCAUAGUCCGCAUCCUUCAAUUUCCUCUCCUUCAUCCAUCUAUACUUGCCUUUGACCGUGGUGGAAAACCCAUGCAGCGUGUUUAGCGGGCCUUAGUUUAUGUGGGUGAGCCUGUCUGCGCGUGCAUAGUGAAGGAGGGUUGGUACAGUAAGAUGUUGUACUAAUCAUCUUUUGCUCAAGCUUGUGGUGGACCUUCUGCACAAAAGGUUACCUUCAAAUUAUUGUGACUUAUUUUAUAAGUGACCUUGAACAAUCUUAAUUUAUCCUCACACUAGCAUGCCUCAUUCCAACAUUAAAUAUAUACAUUUUAAAUUAUUACAACUUGUCUUGUGUCUACUUUUAUAGCAGAAUGGCACAUUUGUGAUAUGUAAAUUGUGAAUAUGCAAAGCCAACAGCUUAUAGCUACCCAUUGAAACUGAGACAUCAGAGGGCAAAUCACCAAGAUUUACCUUUUUUUAUGAAUUAUAAUACUUGCACCAAUAAAUGUGCCGUUGAAAAUCAUCUUCCUCGCUUGUGUCUCCUCUUUUGCCCUUUUCCAUACAAAUGAAAAAAUAUUACCUCCUGUUUUCUCUCCCAUCCAUCGCCAGACUGUUGACACAUUAAGAUGUGAAAGUCUCACUGAAUGCUUCCCUGCAUGACGGAUGCUGCUUCCCAACAAGCUUACAUGUGCACACUUAAAAGUGUACACGUUUAUUGUAUAUCGGCAGUUAGUCACACACACACGCACACAUGCAAACACACAUGCAGAGUGUGAGCAAUGCUGUAUAAUAAGCAGCGUGGCGAAGAUGUGGUCAGCUUUGCCCCAUGUGCAAUCGUUGAGAAGCCACAUGAAGGCUUCUGGGUAUUAAAGGAAAAGCCUUGGUUGGCUGGGAGGGAAUCUGUCAUGCAACAAGAAAACUGUUUUUCACCCUUUUUUACCUCUCUCAUUUCUUCUCCAUCAGGCUUUUUCUCUUUACCGCUCUUCCCAAGUUCUGUCUUUCACCAGAUUAUCUGACUCGACUCCCUUUUUUUCCUCCUUCAUUUCUUUCAUUCUGUGGCAUAUUAGACUCAGUUGUAAUACUCUCCAGCUUUAAACGCUUACACCGCUGGAAUGUCCCGUCAAAGAGGUGGGCGGGCCCGGGGGGGAGAGGGGGGAGGGACAGACCAACAUGACCAAUUAAGGAGGAGAUUGAGGUAAGACGGACAGCUUCUAAAUGGUGUAAUAACAACCUACUAAAAUGUAAUUACAAUGCAAUAGCAAUAGACACUUCUAAUGACAGGAUGUAAAUGCCAAUGUGAUUUCCUAACCAUGGCCUUGGCAUAAUGGGCAACUGUUAACAUGGCGUGGAGAUUAUAGAGAGGUGUCUGAUUCCAGAAAUGCAACCACAAGAACUUGUAAGAGUGGAAUGGUCACUCAGAAGUCCUGCAAAGUAUUAAUCACAAAAUGGUUGGCAAGUUUUUGAGGAAAGUCAAACGUUAGUGUGAGCUUCGGACGGAUGUCACCUGUUUAUCCAUUCAAUAGUUUGUCUAAGAAGACUUAAUCUACUACAUAUUUAGGUUCUUGCCUUGGUUUGACCCCUUCCUAAUUGGUCCAACUUCAACCCUGACAAAGUGCUCUCGACCAACCACUGUCCAUCUGUCUUUCUGUAUGAUACGCGUCCAUCUGUCCAUCCAUCCAUCCAUCCACCUCUAACAAGAGGAGUGGAUGGUGGCGUCCAUUAUUACAGAGCAUCCCAGAAUAGAGACUCGUUUUAUUACAAGUCCCUCUAGUCGCCGUGGCUACCCAAAUUACAGGCAAGGCUUCUCACACAUAAAAAAGGUUGCGUUGCCGAAAACCAUCCACCUCAAUAAAGGAUGGAUUAGAAAAUCCUUCGCUUUUUUCCUUUCCUUUCCUUUUUGAAAGGUUUUCUGCACAAUUUUUUUUUUCCUCUGGUGUUUUGUUUUAUGUUGGGGUGCAGCGGUCUUCUUCAGUGGUUUUGCUCCCCGACCCUGCGGCGGAAAAUACGCUCACUUGUGGGUUUCUGGGAAGGCAGCGGUGGACAAAACAUCUGCUGGGAGCAAGAUGUAUGUAAGUGUGUGUGUUUGUGUGAGUGUGUGCAUAGAGGGACACUGUCCUGGCAUCCAUGUCUAAGAUCUGUUUGAGUCAAAGCAAAAUAGUAGGCGUUGGUGUGAAAAAUCUUCAUUACGAGCGUUGUUUACAUAUUUGAAACACAAUUGUGAAAGUUUGGAUCGUUUAAAAGCUGUAUAGAUCAAGGUGUAGGAAUGUAAUGUACAGCGGCAACGCUUGCAGACUUAAAACAAAAUCUCUUGAGUGAACUAAAAUGUGUUCUCAUCUACAUUUUCUGUAAAUCCAGGAUGGCCGUGAAGCAGUUAGAUUCUCUACCCAACAUUAUAAAAUUCUAUAUCAGGGGUUAAUAUCUUUAAUUAAUACACUAUUUAGAUGAGAUAGCCCAUUUCUUUGAGUUAGCGUUUAAAGCUAAAGUCAGUGGGCCUUUUGUUCAGAUUUCCUAUUCCAACUGUAUACAGCUGACUUGUUAUAGUAUUAGUAUUAGAAGGAGUAAAGGGAAGCCGUUCAAAUUUGUAUUAAAUGUUAAAAGAUGUGCUUAUGUCGUAGGCUAACUUUGUGGAUGUGGCAUAAACAAAUAUUAGAGCUAGCUUAUUUGGCUAGCAAUAGCUACAUUGCACAAACCUGUCCUGGAAAAUGGUGGUACCAAAAAAUGUUGACGAACUAUAACAAACUAAACUGAGAAGUUGUAGUGUGCCGUGUACAGUAAUACUUAUUUUUAUUCUAGAAUAACACCCCACCACAUGUUACAUACAAUGAUGCAGUCAUCUCUAUUAUGCAAUGUGAUCAUAUUUUGUGAGAGGCCAUUUACACAGAUUUGAAGGUAGAAAUUAAAGCAGGAGACGUGAACUUUUUUAGAUGUUUGGAGGAAAGAUGAAGGGUUGUAGAGAUCUAUCACCGGGAAAUCUGUUUAUAGAUGUUUCGUUCACAUCCUUUAAAAACCAAAAAGAGAAAUAUAUAGCCUCGAAUGCAGUCCAAUUAAACAAUAUGAGGGCUCUUUAUCAUGUGGCAACCCACCGGAAGUAAAGCUGUGAUCCAUCUUGGUUUCCGUCCCAUCGUUUAAGAAGCCAGGUUUUUACGGGAAGUGUGAAUGUGGUUUGUGAUGAAAGGAUGGGAUGAUGUGUGUGUGUGUCUGUUUGUGUGUGUGUGUGUGUGCCUGCAGUACACACUAUUAUUAUGUUGCUGCGGUUGUAAUGAUGUAAGAUGCUCGCAAGGGCGUAAACAAGAGCAGCACGCCAUCUACAAACAACAUAUGAAAAUAUCAUGUUCCUGCAGGUCUCAAAUAGAUGAUGACAAUAUGAAGACUUCAAACCCCAUUACAGUAAUACCAGAAGAAAUAGGCUCAUCCUCAAUUUACUAUAAGGAUUUUAGGUAUUGAGAUAGUUGUUUGUGUUGGUCUGAGAAACCCCACUGUUGACGGGCCGUUCAGUUUGACUGAACGCUUCUAGGACAAUUUGCUGUACAAUAAAUGCAAUUUCUGACCAGUUUACAAGUUGCGACUCGCUUUCCUGAUUCCUGAUUUCCAAGCAAAAAUGGAAGCUGGUUGACAAACAGAGUUAACAAUCAUUGUUAUGCUUUUACAAACGAUGUAUCCCAAUGUCUUUGGACAUCUUGACUUUUCCUGUAUGGUGUAGUAUGAGUUUUGACAUUUUUAGUUUUGAGGGAAAGGUCUCAAGCACAAAGGAUGAAUUUCCAUGCGAUGUGCCACAAAUAUUCAUAUUAUCUUCAAGAUGAAUUACAGCAAGCAUCUAGCAUUUAUCAUCUGGUAAAAAUAUGAAUUUGUCCAAAUACCAGAGUACCUUGCUCAGACUUGGGGAAGCAGUGAGGAAAGCUCAUCUGUCAUGCACAAACUAUCAAAUCAUUUAUAAUUUUUCAAAUUUUAAGUAUAGUAUAAUACUUAAAAACAAAGCCAAAACAAAAAAAAAAUACAAAGAUGUGUCUCUGAACACCUGCAAACCUCACUAAACUUGUAUUACCACACUUUGAAAUUUGACAAAUUUGAACAAUUGCCUACUACUUAUUUUCAGUCGUCUCUGACAGAUGGAUUUAUCGUAUACACUAAAUGCAUUUUUGUCAGAUUCAAUAAACCUUGUUCAGAAAAACUCCCAAAAUGUUUCCUUCCACAUGUAAAUGAAAAACUAAGGCUCAUUCCUGUUCUCUGUUAU
ensembl:lncRNA